rnacentral:rRNA from 1 species
CCUACGGGAGGCAGCAGUGGGGAAUAUUGGCAAUGGGGGGAACCCUGAUCCAGCCAUGCCGCGUGUGUGAAGAAGGCCCUCGGGUUGUAAAGCACUUUCAGUGAGGAAGAACGCCUGGUGGUUAAUACCCAUCAGGAAAGACAUCACUCACAGAAGAAGCACCGGCUAACUCCGUGCCAGCAGCCGCGGUAAUACGGAGGGUGCGAGCGUUAAUCGGAAUUACUGGGCGUAAAGCGCGCGUAGGUGGCUUGAUAAGCCGGUUGUGAAAGCCCCGGGCUCAACCUGGGAACGGCAUCCGGAACUGUCAAGCUAGAGUGCAGGAGAGGAAGGUAGAAUUCCUGGUGUAGCGGUGAAAUGCGUAGAGAUCGGGAGGAAUACCAGUGGCGAAGGCGGCCUUCUGGACUGACACUGACACUGAGGUGCGAAAGCGUGGGUAGCAAACAGGAUUAGAUACCCGUGUAGUC